UCUCUUUCGCUCUAUGGCGUGCUCGUUUGGGUUGGGCGUCGGCUAAGAGUGCUCGGAGCGUGGAUUAACUCCAGUCGCCAAUCAGGUGUGUAUUUCUCACUACUCUAGCUGUAGGAUGGCUACUUCGGGCUAUGUGGGCCCAAUGGGCCUACGGGCCCAAUUGGAUAAGUUGUUUGAUUGUAUAGUAAUAUUAGACUAGGCUAGGUGAAUCUCAUAUCUGUGGCUAGAUUUUGGCUAAAAGGGCCACACGAGCGUGUGGGGCCAUUUGGGCCGAAGGCCCAUUCGUAUUGUUACCCCUGGUUAGAAUACUUUAGUUUACCAAAUUACUAAAAUGCCCUUAAUUUGUAAAAUUACCAAAGUACCCUUGAUUUACAGAAUUGCCGUUUUACCCUCGAUUUAUAGAGCUACCAUUUUACCCUCGAUUUAUAAAAUUACCAUUUUACCCUCGAUUUAUAGAAUUACCAUUUUACCCUCGAUUUAUAGAAUUACCAUUUUACUUUCGAUUUACAGAAUACCCAUUUUACCCUCGAUUUACAGAAUUAUCAUUUUACCCUCGAUUUAUAGAAUUACCAUUUUACCCUCGAUUUACAGAAUUACCGUACAAAAUUAUUGAAAUACCCUUGGUUUACAAAAUUACCAAAAUACCCUCGAUUAGUAAAAUUACCAAAAUACCCCUGGUUUGUAAAAUUACUAAAAUACCCCUGGUUUGUAAAAUUACCAAAAUACCCCUGGCUUGUAAAAUUACCAAAAUACCUCUAAUUUGUGAAAUUAUCAAAAUACUCUCGAUUUGUAAAAUAUCGAAAUACCCCUGUAGGGUAGAAUUACCAAAAUACCCCUGUAGGGUAAAAUUACCGAAAUACCCCUAUAGGGUAGAAUUACUAAAAUACCCCUGUAGGGUAGAAUUACCGAAAUACCCUUGUAGGGUAGAAUUACUGAAAUACCCUUGUAGUGUAGAAUUACGAAGAUACCCUUGCGGGGUAAAAUUACCAUUUUGCCCCUAGAGUGUUAAAUGACUAUUUUGCCCUUGUGGGCAAGUGACUGACUUGGACUAUGUGGUUGACGGAUUUGAUUGUGAAUAUAUGUUGGUGAUAUGAAUGACUUGACUGUGAUUGUUUGAUUCAAAUAUGGGCAUGACAUUCUGCAUACAUGACAUGUUGCAUGGGUUGGGUUUUAUAAAAAUGGAGGAAGUGCUAAAAGGGCUUUGCCCCAGUUUACCGAAAAGGGCUUUGCCCCAGUUUACUGAAAAAGGCUUUGCCCCAGUUUACCGAAAAGGGCUUUGCCCCAGUUUAUCAAAAAGGGCUUUGCCCUAGUUAUUAAAAGAGGCUAGGCCUCCAGUUAUAAGAUAAAGCAGCUAUGCUGCCAGUGGAGAGUUUGGUUGGGUGGGUUGAGUUAUUCCCCACAUGGAGAGCUUGGUUGGUACGGGUGGAGAGUAGCGGAUGGUGGGUUGAGUAGUCUCCCCAAAUGGGCUUGCAUACUUUCAUUGUAUUCCAUGUGAUUUUGAAAUGGGCCUAUGGGCCAUACCAUUUACAGUGAAGGCUUCGGCCCAGUGAUUUGAUUUAUGAAAAGGCUCCGGCCCAGUAACUGUUAAAUGAAAGGCUUCGGCCUAGUAAAUGUCAAGACUAAAUAGGGCUUUUGCCUAAAUUGAACUGAUACCCGUGUUAUUCACUGUUUUUUUGUUAUUGGGAUUACACACUGAGUUUUCGUAAACUCACUCCGUUUCUAACUGUGCAGGUAAUCCCUAAGCUUAGAUGGUUUGGAGCUGCAAGGGACUCGAAGAUGGCCACACUACUGUUUUUAUUUCUUUUAAUUUCAAUUAGAUUUCAUUUUGGAUUUUUAAAUUAUGUAAUAAGGCCAUAGGUGGGUUUUAAGUUUUAAUUUGGAUUGUGAUUUCUUACACUAAACUGCUAGUCUAG
rnacentral:lncRNA from 1 species